GAUGGUCUAGCUCAGAUUGAACGCUGGCGGCGGGAUGCUUUACAUGCAAGUCGAACGGCAGCACGGACUUCGGUCUGGUGGCAGUGGCGAACGGGUGAGUAAUGUAUCGGAACGUGCCUAAUAGUAGCGGGGGAUAACUACGCGAAAGCGUAAUACCGCAUACGCCCUUCGGGGAAAGCGGGGGACCUUCCCGGGCCCUCGACACUAUUGGAUGAACCGAUUUCAGGACAGCUAGUUGGUUGGGGUAACGGCUCGCAGGCGACGAUCCGUAGCUGGUUUAAGAGAGGGACGACCAGCCGCACUGGGACGAGACUGACGGAACUCCUACAGGGAGGCAGCGGUGGGCUGUGGACAAUGAAAUAUGAUCCCAGCCAUCCCGUGUGCGAUGAAGGCCUUCGGGUUGUAAAGCACUUUUUGGCGGAAAGAAACGGCACGGGAUAAUACCCCGUGCAACUGACAGUACCUGGUGAUAAGCACCGGCUAACUACGUGCCAGCGGCCGCGGUAAUACGUAAGUGCAAGCGUUAGUCAGUGUAUUUGGGCGUAAAGCGUGCAGGCGGUUCGGAAAGAAGAUGCUGACGAUAGAGCUUAACUCUGGAACUGCAUUGUUGUCCGGGCGUGAGUGUCAGAGGGAGGUGGAAUUCCGCGUGUAGCAGUGAAAUGCGUAGAUAUGCGGAGGAACACAUGGACUGACGGUGGACAGCCUCCUGGGAUAACACUGGCAUCAUGCGCUGGCAGCGGAGCAAACGGGAUUAGAUACCCUGGUAGUCCACGCCUAAACGAUGUCAACUAGCUGUUGGGGCCUUCGGGCCCUUGGUAGCGCAACUAACGCGUGAAGUUGACCGCCUGGGGAGUGAACAACAAGAUUAAAACUCAAAGGAAUUGACGGGGACCCGCACAAGCGGUGGAUGAUGUGGAUUAAUUCGAUGCAACACGAAAACCUUACCUACUGGCCUUGACAUGUCUGGAAUCGAAGGGAUUUGGGAGUGCUCGCAAGAGGAACCGGAACACCCAGGUGCUGCAUGGCUGUCGUCAGCUCGUGUCGUGAGAUGUUGGGUUAAGUCCGCAACGAGCGCAGCCCUUGUCAUUAGUUGCUACGAAAGGGCACUCUAAUGGGAACUACCAGUGCCAAACCGGAGAAGGUGGGGAUGACGUCAAGUCCUCAUGGCCCUUAUGGGUAGGGCUUCACGUCAUACAAUGGUCGGGACAGAGGGUCGCCAACCCCGCGAGGGUUGGUCGGAACCGGAUCGUAGGCCGGAUCGCAGUCUGCAACUCGACUGCGUGAAGUCGGAAUCGCUAGUAAUCGCGGAUCGGCGCCAUUAUGUCGUGGAUGAUGAUCUUGGUCUUGUACCGCCCCGUCACGCCAUGGGAGUGGGUUUUACCAGAAGUAGACCAGUAACCGUAAGGAGGGCUACCACGGUAGGAUUCGCGGCUGGGGUGAAGUCGUAACAAGGUAGCUCUGUUGCAUAUUCAGGACUCCAGGAU
rnacentral:rRNA from 1 species